UUGAUUUGCGGUAGUCAUUUUAAUAUUGGAACCUUUUUCGUUUCUGAAAUUCUGCAGAGUUGAUCAUUUUCAAGCCCUUGCUUGGUUGCUUACAAACCUCACACCUGACUCCUGAAUAGGGUGAAGACUUUGGGUUUGAACAUGUGGACAACAGUGGUGAUGAAGAUCUAAGCUGACAUGAUGUGAAAUUAAGGAGGAACAAGAAAAGACUGCACAGGCCAUCAUGCUGUUCCGCAGAUAAAAGGUCAUCGACUGAAGCCUGAUGGUCCGGUACAGGAAGCCCUCAGCAGGAUACUACAGUAACCCUGGAUGAUUCAUGCUACUGUUGUCAAGGCAACUUAGCCUUUUCCUGUGUUAGGAUAUCCUGUGACCGAGGUGGAGGGAUGGGAGAGAACAUAUGACAGGAUAUUGGAUGGUGUAUCUCAGGUCCCAAGACUCCUCUGCCAACAUCCACUGUG